rnacentral:rRNA from 1 species
UAGAGUUUGAUCAUGGCUCAGGACGAACGCUGGCGGCGUGCUUAACACAUGCAAGUCGAACGAUGAUGCCCAGCUUGCUGGGUGGAUUAGUGGCGAACGGGUGAGUAACACGUGAGUAACCUGCCCCUGACUCUGGGAUAAGCGUUGGAAACGACGUCUAAUACUGGAUAUGAUCACUGGCCGCAUGGUCUGGUGGUGGAAAGAUUUUUCGGUUGGGGAUGGACUCGCGGCCUAUCAGCUUGUUGGUGAGGUAAUGGCUCACCAAGGCGACGACGGGUAGCCGGCCUGAGAGGGUGACCGGCCACACUGGGACUGAGACACGGCCCAGACUCCUACGGGAGGCAGCAGUGGGGAAUAUUGCACAAUGGGCGAAAGCCUGAUGCAGCAACGCCGCGUGAGGGAUGACGGCCUUCGGGUUGUAAACCUCUUUUAGUAGGGAAGAAGCGAAAGUGACGGUACCUGCAGAAAAAGCACCGGCUAACUACGUGCCAGCAGCCGCGGUAAUACGUAGGGUGCAAGCGUUGUCCGGAAUUAUUGGGCGUAAAGAGCUCGUAGGCGGUUUGUCGCGUCUGCUGUGAAAUCCCGAGGCUCAACCUCGGGCUUGCAGUGGGUACGGGCAGACUAGAGUGCGGUAGGGGAGAUUGGAAUUCCUGGUGUAGCGGUGGAAUGCGCAGAUAUCAGGAGGAACACCGAUGGCGAAGGCAGAUCUCUGGGCCGUAACUGACGCUGAGGAGCGAAAGCAUGGGGAGCGAACAGGAUUAGAUACCCUGGUAGUCCAUGCCGUAAACGUUGGGCGCUAGAUGUAGGGACCUUUCCACGGUUUCUGUGUCGUAGCUAACGCAUUAAGCGCCCCGCCUGGGGAGUACGGCCGCAAGGCUAAAACUCAAAGGAAUUGACGGGGGCCCGCACAAGCGGCGGAGCAUGCGGAUUAAUUCGAUGCAACGCGAAGAACCUUACCAAGGCUUGACAUACACCGGAAACGGCCAGAGAUGGUCGCCCCCUUGUGGUCGGUGUACAGGUGGUGCAUGGUUGUCGUCAGCUCGUGUCGUGAGAUGUUGGGUUAAGUCCCGCAACGAGCGCAACCCUCGUUCUAUGUUGCCAGCGGGUUAUGCCGGGGACUCAUAGGAGACUGCCGGGGUCAACUCGGAGGAAGGUGGGGAUGACGUCAAAUCAUCAUGCCCCUUAUGUCUUGGGCUUCACGCAUGCUACAAUGGCCGGUACAAAGGGCUGCGAUACCGUAAGGUGGAGCGAAUCCCAAAAAGCCGGUCUCAGUUCGGAUUGAGGUCUGCAACUCGACCUCAUGAAGUCGGAGUCGCUAGUAAUCGCAGAUCAGCAACGCUGCGGUGAAUACGUUCCCGGGCCUUGUACACACCGCCCGUCAAGUCAUGAAAGUCGGUAACACCCGAAGCCGGUGGCCUAACCCUUGUGGAAGGAGCCGUCGAAGGUGGGAUCGGUGAUUAGGACUAAGUCGUAACAAGGUAGCCGUACCGGAAGGUGCGGCUGGA